UACGGGGGGGGCAAGCGUUGUUCGGAAUUACUGGGCGCAAAGGGCUCGUAGGCGGCCAACUAAGUCAGACGUGAAAUCCCCAGGCUCAACCUGGGAACUGCGUCUGAUACUGGAUGGCUUGAAUCCGGGAGAGGGAUGCAGAAUUCCAGGUGUAGCGGUGAAAUGCGUAGAUAUCUGGAGGAAUACCGGUGGCGAAGGCGGCAUCCUGGACCGGCAUUGACGCUGAGGAGCGAAAGCCAGGGGAGCAAACGGG
rnacentral:rRNA from 1 species